GACCACAGCAGGGGGCUGACCAUAGGCCACCUGCAGAUAAGGGAAGCCCAGAGGACAUAGACACAUUCCUCAGACAAUAGCCAUUCUGCUCACUACAGUUUGGAGAAUAUAAACUUUGAAGGACUCAGGUUGUCUGCAAAGGGACAUACUGAGAAAUAGUCCGGGCUAAAGCAUGUGACUCUGAGUAAUCUACUAGAAGUGGCAUGACUUGCUUUAAGUUCCACAUCUUCAACAAUACUUUGAGUUAUUCCCAGGAGAAAUCAUUCUCAAACAUCUAAAAUGGACUGUACCAAGACAACUGUCUUGAGGAACCUGAGUUUGCAUUUCUGCUCUGAAAGCUCAGAGCUCUGUUCUCUACAUAAAGAAAUAAAAGCAGGAGGGAAUCUUGACUCCUGGCCAGGACUUGCUGCUUGACAUCUCCCUGGCCCAGGAUUUGAGCUGUUUCUGUCUUGCUGACCCAGUUUCAGCAUCUAUAGUAUGGAAGGAUGAGUCAGGAUGCUUCAUAGCUCCAACAGACUACAACUUCUAGGUGAGACAUCACCUUCC